rnacentral:tRNA from 1 species
UCCUGGCUGGCUCAGUUGGUGGAGCAUGAGACUCUAGAUCUCAGGGUUGUGAGCUCGAGCCCCAUGUUGUGUG